AAACUCGCAUCUACGUCUCUAUACGGUUCUGCAUCCACGUACCGGUUCUAACUGAAGACCGUGAGAGUGGAGGUAGAUCUGCUUCAGUACAGAGAGAAAGAUCAGAUGAAGCUACUGAAAGAAAUUAUUCUGGUUGUUGUUCAAAAGAGAAGUGUUUCCAGGUUAUUGUAAAUGACCAGACUUCAGAGAAUGGGAAGGGAAGCACAACAUUACAGUGAUGAAUCUAUUUGUGUUUGAAAGAUUGAACAAUUGAGGAGAUUGUAGAGGCAGUAAAAGGCUAGGUAGAUUUGCAGAAAACAUGGUGAAACGGUGAUAUGAGUCUUAUGUAUAAAGACAUGUACAUUAGGUUCAUGGAGACUAAAGCUUUGGUUGAGAGAAAAUUGAUCGUGAAGGGGUAAAAUGACUUUUUAGGAAGAUAAAAAACAUUUAUUAAGUACCAAAAAUCUGCUUAUAUCAACUAUCAAGUUUAGCAAUUAUCAAGUUUCAAAUAUACAAUGAACCGAGCAAUUAAAUAAAGCUAUAUCUAUAAUCUCAUAUCAAAAACUAUCCCAAAUGAGAAAAUGUUCCAUUGCAGGUAAUAUCAGCUUUUUACUUUUUCAACUAGGUAGUCAUACAAUUCCAUCUUUCCUAUCCUUGCUUUAAUGUGAAUGGAGUGUAUCCAGCCUGAAACAUGAACAUUCCUUUGUGUAAAGGGAGGUUUAUGUUGUUUCAAAAAGCAGAAAAUAUCAAAGUACAAACCUUGUCAGUGAUCUCUAAUGUUGUGUCAUAUGUCUUGAAGAUCUUAGUGAUUUCCAAGCACCGAUUGCUUGCAGCAAAGUGAAGAACAGUCCAACCUGCUUUAUCCAUGUUGUUGAUCAUAGAAUCAUCUGCACUUACUAGCAUUUUCACUACCUGCAACCAGGAAAUGAUUACACAACUUCACAGUGUGAAUGAUCUAGUAGAUUAAUAGCACCACUACAACCUACGAUUACAUAUUCUAAAUCCCCUAACUUCACUACCUCAAGACUAAAGUGACAAAGUCCGCUAACUUCUCCUUACAGUACACACAAUUUUUUCAAAGGUUUCUAACCGGUUAAAACCAGAUUAUGCAGUUAACUUCAUUACCUGAAGAUUCCACUCACAAAAAGCAUUUAUACGCUAAGGUUUCUCAUCAUUUGAUACAAGGGAAAUCACUUUUGUUUUGUAAGACUUCACAUCAUGCAUAAGAGGGCUUUGACCCUUUUUAUUUGAAACAUCAAUCAAUGCUCCUAUUUUGUAGCAGAUAGUCACAAUUCUCCAAUUUUCUUCGGUUAGUUGCUAUGUGAAGAUGUGUCCUUGAGUCUGUCAAUGUCAUUUAUUUCGGCACAUGUCAUAGAACACAUAAAUAAAGAUUUUUUGAAGCUGACUAUUCAAUAAAGAAAGAAACGAAAUAAGUUCAAUACCUUUGUUGAUAAGUGUUGACAUAAGCUCUAAAUUACCAAACCUAGCAGCUAUAUGUAGACUCUCGAUUAUAUUCUACCAUGAUUGCUCUAUCUUGUGAGAAGGUAAUACAUUGUAGAUUUUAUUGUGUGUCAUCUUGUCUCAUUGGUCUUUAGCAGAUGUCCAAGGCUAAAAAGGAGAGGAUUUAACGUAAAGAUGUACAUAAAAGAAAGAAAAAAGAAAAGAAAAGAGAGAGAGAACCUUGGCUUCAAGUUCUUCACACUUUCUCUUCCACUUUUUAAAAUGACUUUAUCUAUCUAUAUGAUAAUAUUUUGUUCCUUCUUUGUGCAUUUUAUAUAAAGAUUCAUAAAAUUUAAAGGAAAUCGUGUCUAUUAAAUUCAAUUGUAUUCCUUUAAAAUCUAAAAUAAAUCUUUUUGAGAAAUGCAUUAUAAUCUUCAACAAAUCAUUUAAAAUACUUAAAAAUCUAUUAUUUAUAUCUUCAGUUAAAUUUUUUAAAAAUUUGUUAAAUUCUUGAAUCUAAUACCAUCUCCAGAUACAUAGCCGAAAGAAUUAUUAUAAUAACUAAAGAAAAAUUAUUUCUAAUACGGCUCUAGCUCACCUUUAACAGUCUGUCAUUCUCUCAUAGUAAUGCUAUGUUUCUUUUUUAUUGCUUUGUUUCGUCUCUUUUCUACUCUCUAUGUUCGCAGCCGAGAUAUUUUUCGGAGUCAAUAUAUGGAUCGUUGAUGUAGACUUGGCCCUUCUUGCUCUGCAAAAUGAUGAUGAAGACUUGGUCUUUUAGUAGAAUAGGAUGAAGAAAAUAAACUUAAGAGCUAUAUGGUUUUGAAUCAUACUAUGCUUUGAGAGCAUUCUAUUUUAGAGUAAUAUAUAGAAAAAAAAAUUAUAGAGUACCAGUUGAGAUGGUUUGAUUAGGUCGUAACUUUUAUUGUCAACAAUUUGAAUUUCUUAAAAAUGAGAAAUUAAUAAUUUUAUUAUAAUAA